GGGACGGGGCGGCGAGAGGGAGAUCAUUAUAAGGGGCAGAUACUGCGGGGCAUCGUCAGAAAAAAGAACCAGAUAUCUCCUCACCAUGCUCUGGGCUCCCCUCCUUGUCGUGCUGCUGGGGGUGUGGUGCACAGGUUCCAGCUCCCAGUCUGUGGUGACGCAGCCGCCCGCAGAGUCAGUGUCCCCGGGAAACACUGUGAAACUCUCCUGCACCAUGAGCAGUGGGACCAGCAUCAGUGGCUACUAUGUGAACUGGUUUCAGCAGAAACCUGGGACCCCCCCUCGGCAACUGCUGUAUUACAAGUCGGAUUCUGACAAGCACCAGGGCUCCGGGGUCCCCGCUCGCUUCUCUGGCUCCAAAGACACAUCCAGUAACACCGGCUACCUGACCAUCGCCGGGGUCCUUGCGGAGGAUCAGGCUGACUAUUACUGCGCUGUGUGGCACAGUGAUGCUUGUCACAGUGAUCUAGUCAGAGGGAAAGGGAUCUUUGGUCCAACUGGCCCGCAACGCAGGCAAGAAAGCCAGUCAAUGAGAAUGGAAUUGGAGCUGUCAGGGUGA